ACGAUGAAUCUUCUAGCUUGCUAGAAGUGGAUUAGUGGCGCACGGGUGAGUAAUGCAUAGGUUAUGUGCCCUUUAGUCUGGGAUAGCCACUGGAAACGGUGAUUAAUACUGGAUACUCCCUACGGGGGAAAGUUUUUCGCUAAAGGAUCAGCCUAUGUCCUAUCAGCUUGUUGGUGAGGUAAUGGCUCACCAAGGCUAUGACGGGUAUCCGGCCUGAGAGGGUGAUCGGACACACUGGAACUGAGACACGGUCCAGACUCCUACGGGAGGCAGCAGUAGGGAAUAUUGCUCAAUGGGGGAAACCCUGAAGCAGCAACGCCGCGUGGAGGAUGAAGGUUUUAGGAUUGUAAACUCCUUUUGUUAGAGAAGAUUAUGACGGUAUCUAACGAAUAAGCACCGGCUAACUCCGUGCCAGCAGCCGCGGUAAUACGGAGGGUGCAAGCGUUACUCGGAAUCACUGGGCGUAAAGAGUGCGUAGGCGGGGUAAUAAGUCAGAUGUGAAAUCCUGUAGCUUAACUACAGAACUGCAUUUGAAACUGUUACUCUGGAGUGUGGGAGAGGUAGGUGGAAUUCUUGGUGUAGGGGUAAAAUCCGUAGAGAUCAAGAGGAAUACUCAUUGCGAAGGCGACCUGCUGGAACAUUACUGACGCUGAUGCACGAAAGCGUGGGGAGCAAACAGGAUUAGAUACCCUGGUAGUCCACGCCCUAAACGAUGGAUGCUAGUUGUUGCCUUGCUUGUCAGGGCAGUAAUGCAGCUAACGCAUUAAGCAUCCCGCCUGGGGAGUACGGUCGCAAGAUUAAAACUCAAAGGAAUAGACGGGGACCCGCACAAGCGGUGGAGCAUGUGGUUUAAUUCGAAGAUACGCGAAGAACCUUACCUAGG
rnacentral:rRNA from 1 species